UUUGUUACUGCGAAUACUUGUAUAUUUAAAAAAAAAAACUGAGUAUGAGAUCAGUGGUCAAACCAGGAGGAGCGUGGAAUCAAACAAACUCUGUAACUGAUGCCGGCACAGAUGUGGCAGCAAAAAAAAAAGAAAAAAAAAAGAGGAAAAGUCUGCACUGAUCGAAAAGCAGCCACUGUCUGGCUCGCUAUGUUCAUUACCAUAGAGAUGCUCCGACUCCGCCACUGACGACUUGGUUCCAAGCCCGCGUCCAGACAAAGACAAGGACACACAAGUCUGUGUCUUAAGUGAGGAUGUGCGUGUUGGCCCACCUGCCUUCACAAUGAAUUUGCCUUGGCAGACAGAACCAGGUCCUGGUGCGCCGCUUAAACACUGCCAGACACUCUGGCCUCAUCAGACUGCUCCUGUUUUCCCCAAACAAGACCGCGAGAGAACGCCAGGGAGAUCGGAAGUGACGGAGAAUAAACAGCUUUCUUCUGAUGAGGAUAUUCUUUGACAUGCAGGAUUUUUCCAGUGCCAAGACCUUCUUACUGCACGCCAUCAUCUGCAGCUGAUGUUUAAAGCGUUAAAGCGCGGGUGGUUGCUGCGGAUUGGCUCUGAGGCGUCCUGUAAAUAUGUCUGUUUACCUCCUGCUGUGGGUUUAUGGUCCUUGUAGGUGACAGAGAGAUUUUUUUUUUUUAAGGCUCGUAUUAAAUCUCUUAAGUUGUCCUGUUUAAAUUACACAUUAGCAGACGAAUACUGAAAUUAAACUCCUGCACAUUUUCUUUAGGUGUCCCAGUACGACACUCCGUCCUGUCUUAAAAACAAUAUUAGAAUCUCCAGUGACAGAUUUUUAGAGUCUCAGAAGAAAAAAUUUUUAAAGAGCUACACUGAAGACGAUUACUUGUGUGCACAUACGGCUGUCAUAUGGUUCUCUGCACAACGUACGGGGGCGGCGGCGAGCAGGUGGGUGAAAAUGUUUCUUUUCGUGCUUAUUUUCCAGAGUUUUCUAUUUAUUAUUUUAUACUAGUUUGCAUAGCUUUUAAACUUUUUUUUUCCCUCUUUGAAAUUCCUUAAGAACUGUUCUGCUUGUGUUGCCAGGCAACUGCAUCAAGUAGACUUUGUCAAUAGCCUUUGUGUUGGCAAUGUGGUAGAUGUAGAAAUGCUAGAUAUGUCCUGCGCAGUGCAGCCUGUAGCAUUUCAUACCAGAUUGUCAGGUGUUGUCGGUGUCCAAACACUGUAUAUCUGUACCUUUACUGAUUAUUGUGGCUUUACGUGUACAGUAGUUGGGACGAUCAAGUCACAAAACUAGAUCCACUUACUGCUUUUGCUUGACAUUAAUUUCGUGGAAUGUGCUGUAACUUCUAGGUAGGAUGUUUGGUCGAACCUGACUGAAUAUAAAACGUUUCUCUCUAAUUGUGGCUUGCGGCCGAAGGCGUCCUCUGAUCCCCUGAUGGAAGGCAGAAGGGUUUAAAAAUCCGUGUCACGUUCCCUGGAAUAAUGGCCGGGGGAGUUGGGAAACCCUCGACCUGGUCUGACCCUUUCACUGCCAGACUGAACAUGAAACCUUUUGAAUCUCGACAUUAGUGUCUCAGUUGUGUCAACCAUGUAUAUUGCAUGACAAUAUCGCAGGAGGAAUUUUGAUGUUUUGUAACCUUUAAACCCUUUGAGCAUUGUGUUUGUGUGACAGCAGUGCCCAAACCCCCUCAACGUCCUUAGCAAAGUGUCAACACAAAGCCCACCUCUUCGUCAUACACGUCUGACUGCCAAUGAUUGAACCUAUGAAGUACAAAGUCGUCUAUAUGAAGAAUGGAUGUUGUGGAGACUGUGUUUGAUAUUGCCUAUAUCUAUCUUUUUUAUUGCUUUGCUUUAAUGCAUUAUUUCAUUUAACAAAUUUCUAUCUAAAGGUAAAGCGACUCAUACAGUCCACCCAUCUUGAGGUUUCACAGUUCAUUUUAACUCAGCGAGCUGAUUUCAAGCAGAUGAUGCUAUUCCUGGUGGCGUACAGGUGGCACCGUCUAAUCCAGUGCAGCACAUACAAUUAGGAUCAUUUUGAUACAUUUAUUCAUUAAAAACACACCAGAAUUACCUUCAAGUUACUUCGGCUUUAGUGGACACAGGAGCGGAGGCCUCAUUAAUUCAUGGCAAUCCAGAAAAAAUUCAGGGACCAGCUCAGACCAGUACAGGUUCAAACUGAUAAUGGUACUCAUUUUACGGGGAAUAAAGUAAAAGAGUGGGCCAAAGAACAUCAUGUUGAAUGGAUUUAUCAUAUUCCCUAUUACCCGCAAGCGGCGGGACUAGUAGAACGAAUGAAUGGGCUCCUUAAAGAGACCCUAUUGAAGCUGUCAAAAGAUCGCACUAUGCGACAAUGGAGACAGGAUUUGACUACUGCCGUGGACCAGUUGAACAAUCGGCCAAUAGGGUCGGGAUCCACACCCUUGAUAAGAAUGAU